UUAUGCACUGGCGCCCCCAUCCUAUGCACUGGCUGCUGUGUCUGCCUAGCCAGAAAGGUAUGCUCAAACUGCCCAUUUGGAGGUUGGCCAAAGUGCCCCAUCUGCCUUUGAUACUGACUCUGCAACUGGGGAUGCGCCACUGCAGCGGCGGCUGCUGCCAUCUGCUGCUGGUGAUGAUGAUGUUGCAGUGCUGCCACUGGUACAAACGGCAAGAAAUGGUCUGAAUUAGGCCUCCCUGGGUGCAAGAAAUGCGCAGGCACCGGAGAACUCGCAAAUAAAUGCUCAGUUGCUGCAUCGGAGCCUGCAGCCAAUCCACCUCCCCCGCCACCACCAGUACCAUUAAC
rnacentral:misc_RNA from 1 species